GACGAACGCUGGCGGCGUGCUUAACACAUGCAAGUCGAGCGGUAAGGCUCCUUCGGGAGUACACGAGCGGCGAACGGGUGAGUAACACGUGAGCAAUCUGCCCUUCUCAUCGGAAUACGCGUGGGAAACCGCGUCUAAUGCCGAAUACGACCUCCUUUCGCAUGAUCGGCGGUGGAAAGCUCCGGCGGAGAAGGAUGAGCUCGCGGCCUAUCAGCUAGUUGGUGAGGUAACGGCCCACCAAGGCGACGACGGGUAGCCGGCCUGAGAGGGUGACCGGCCACACUGGGACUGAGACACGGCCCAGACUCCUACGGGAGGCAGCAGUGGGGAAUAUUGCACAAUGGGCGCAAGCCUGAUGCAGCAACGCCGCGUGCGGGAUGACGGCCUUCGGGUUGUAAACCGCUUUUAGUAGGGAAGAAGCCUUCGGGUGACGGUACCUGCAGAAAAAGGACCGGCUAACUACGUGCCAGCAGCCGCAGUAAGAC
rnacentral:rRNA from 1 species